rnacentral:tRNA from 1 species
UCCCUGGUAGCUCAGAUGGUAAAGAAUCUGCCUGCCAGUGCAGGAGACCCAGGUUCUAUCCCUGGGUAGGGAA